rnacentral:rRNA from 1 species
GGACGAACGCUGGCGGCGUGCCUAACACAUGCAAGUCGAGCGAGGAGAUCCUUCGGGAUGAUCCUAGCGGCGGACGGGUGAGUAACACGUGGGCAACCUGCCUCAUAGAGAGGAAUAGCCUUCCGAAAGGGAGAUUAAUACCUCAUAACAUUGCAGUUUCGCAUGGAACAGCAAUUAAAGGAGUAAUCCGCUAUGAGAUGGGCCCGCGGCGCAUUAGCUAGUUGGUGAGGUAACGGCUCACCAAGGCGACGAUGCGUAGCCGACCUGAGAGGGUGAUCGGCCACAUUGGGACUGAGACACGGCCCAGACUCCUACGGGAGGCAGCAGUGGGGAAUAUUGCACAAUGGGGGAAACCCUGAUGCAAGCAACGCCGCGUGAGUGAUGACGGCCUUCGGGUUGUAAAGCUCUGUCUUCAGGGACGAUAAUGACGGUACCUGAGGAGGAAGCCACGGCUAACUACGUGCCAGCCGCAGC